GCCAGGCAUGGUGGCGUGUGCCUGUAGUCCCAGCUACUCAGGAGGCUGAGGUGAGAGGAUCUCUGGAGCCCAGGAGUUCUGGGCUGUAUGUAGUGCACUAUGCCGAUCAGGUAUCCACACUAAGUUCAGCAUCAAUAUGGUGAUCUCCCGGGAGCGGGGGACCACCAGGUUGCCUAAGGAGGGGUGAACCGGCCCAGGUCGGAAACGGAGCAGGUCAAAACUCCUGUGCGGAUCGGUAGUGGGAUUGCACCUGUGAAUAGCCACUGCACUCCAGCCUGGGCAACAUAGCGAGACCCCGUCUCU
rnacentral:SRP_RNA from 1 species